rnacentral:rRNA from 1 species
GACGAACGCUGGCGGCGUGCUUAACACAUGCAAGUCGAACGGAAAGGCCCUGCUUGCAGGGUACUCGAGUGGCGAACGGGUGAGUAACACGUGGGUGAUCUGCCCUGCACUUCGGGAUAAGCUUGGGAAGCUGGGUCUAAUACCGGAUAGGAGCCAUCUUUAGUGUGGUGGUUGGAAAGUUUUUUCGGUGUAGGAUGAGCUCGCGGCCUAUCAGCUUGUUGGUGGGGUAAUGGCCUACCAAGGCGGCGACGGGUAGCCGGCCUGAGAGGGUGUACGGCCACAUUGGGACUGAGAUACGGCCCAGACUCCUACGGGAGGCAGCAGUGGGGAAUAUUGCACAAUGGGCGCAAGCCUGAUGCAGCGACGCCGCGUGGGGGAUGAAGGCCUUCGGGUUGUAAACUCCUUUCGCUAGGGACGAAGCUUUGUUGUGACGGUACCUAGAGAAGAAGCACCGGCUAACUACGUG